CUUUGAAACAAAAUUGAAAACGUAAUAUUGCUAUUAUAGACUUCUUCUCUACUUCCUCAAAUUUGAUAAAUCGAUACAAAGAACCAAAGAAUAUGAACAGCUCUUCUUAUGCGUUUUUUUUUCAUUAUCCUGAAACAAUCUUCGAUCUACACGAACCUAAAAGUCUCUUUCUUUUUUCCCAGGGGCAUCCAUGAUGAAGCUACAGGCGGUCCUCAGCGGUUUCAUCCUUACCUUUUGCCUCCGUUACUCCGUCUACGUCUCCUUCAUCAUCACUGGAGCUUUCUUCGGCGAACUGGCAGUCGCAACGCAUAGUCAAUAACAGAGAGUUGAAAAAAAGUGUACUUGCAAAUGCAAUAUAGGAAGACGGACAUAGGAAGUUGUUGAGCUUGGACAUGAGGCAAAAUGACCAAGAGAGAGGUGCAGCGGUGGGUCACACAUAAGUAGAAGCAGAAGGAUGAGAAAAUAAAGGCAGUAAGGAUGGGAGGGAUCACAAUCCAAGAACAACGAAGCAAUAGUUUACUGCAAUCUACAAGAAUGCCAGUAAGUAUGAGAAAAUAAAGGCAGUAAGUAUGUGAGCAAGUUUAGGAAGUCAACGAAGCAGCACAAAUUUUGUGAGAAGGAUGAGAUGAAGCGGAAAUUUUUUCAGAGGAUCAACGUAAACAACAUCAUGUAGUUUAUCCUUAAAAAAAUCACGAAAAGGUACUGACCUAUGCCAUGGACUUUAUAAUUCAGACAUACAUUUACAUUUUUCUCUUUUCAUUCUAAGUAGAAGACCAAGAGCAAAACAAAACAUAGCUUUGUGCUCAGUUAGCUGACACUAUAUGAAUGUUAAACAUCUGAAAGUUAUUGCAUUGUUUUUACUGGUUCUGAGGAGCGGCUUAUAUAACAAUGCUGGAACAAAUAAAAAAAACAAACUAUCAACCAGACCAAAGUCGCUGUCACACUAUCCUCCAGAAAUCUCAAGUUAUUAAAGCAAUAAGAGUUGCUCUCAGAGUUCAACGAUACCAUUAAGUUGUCUCGAACGUGUUUACAGACCUAGAGACGUCGUGAGGUGGACGUCGAUUAGGAAGAAGAAGAAGAUUAUGCUGCACUUUGUAUAUCCAUGGAGAUCUCAGUGUUGAGUUGUGAAGGAUUGAUGGUACCCCCAUCAAACGAAAUUCUAAAUCUAUUAUCUGUAAAGACUAGGCGCCAUCGGUCAACAUUUUAGCAAACAUAUUCAUACAUUUUCUUAAAAUUGAAUUAUAGCCUUUUACAAAACUAUGUAAUUACCAAAAAUAUAAUGAUCUUUGACACUCAAAGCCGUUAGUUGUUAUAGUUGAAGAAAAGGAGGGAUAUUGUAACCAACAUAGAUAAUUAAGUCUGCAAAUGUUAGCGGCUCUCUA